rnacentral:rRNA from 1 species
GACGAACGCUGGCGGCGUGCUUAACACAUGCAAGUCGAACGAAGUGGCGAACGGGUGAGUAACGCGUAAUCAACCUGCCCUUCAGAGGGGGACAACAGUUGGAAACGACUGCUAAUACCGCAUACUGAAGGAGGGGAUUGCGUCUGAGUGGCUCGUUGGUGGGGUAACGGCCCACCAAGGCGAUGAUCAGUAGCCGGUCUGGGAGGGUGAACCGCCAAAGUGGGAAUGGGACACGGGCCAGACUCCUGCGGGAGGCAGGAGGUGGGAAACUUCCGCAAUGGACGAAAGUCCGACGGAGCAACGCCGCGUGAGGUAUGACGGCCUUCGGGGUGUAAAGCUCUGUUAAUCGGGACGCGGUACCGGAAUAGAAAGCCACGGCUAACUACGUGCCAGCCGCCGCGGUAAUAC